rnacentral:lncRNA from 1 species
CCAUGGCUCUCGAACAGGUAGCCGAGGGUGGAUGAAGAGUUUCUCCACCUCGCCACUGAGCGCGUAGGCAGCGACACCGUCCUGGCCUCGGAAACCUCUUCCCCCUGCGCGCGUUGGUACGACCCGCCCGGAACCUUUUCCCAGCGUAGGCCCCACCCCUCCAGCCCGGCUGCGGACCACCCGGAGAACCUUCUCCUGCCCGAAGCGUUGUUUGGAGCGGGCCGGGUCGCGUCUGCCGGAGGAGCCGUCUGUUCUCCGUCC